UCUGUGAAACAAGGGAGGGUAAGGCCGUAAGGGGACUGAUUCAGACAAAAACUCGGAAACUCGAAGGAAGGAAACUGCUAAGCAGGGGAAUUGUGACUGUUUAUGAUGUUUAAAAUUUGAAACCGAGAAAGGUUUUGACUACGGGGAAGAGCAAAAAUAAAUAAAGAAGAAGAAGCAGGGAGAAGAAAAUUUAGAAAAAGUCGAGGCGAAGAGAUGCUAGGAAAAUGUGGAAGGAAAUCGGAGAUAGAGAAAUGGGUAAAAUCCGUCCGAAUUCCUUUUCCAGUCAGAUCAAAUCCAAUCGGAUAUCGAAUCUCCAACUCUCCAAUAAUAAAGACAUCGUUUCUCCUCACAGAGGCUCCAUCAAUUCCCUUCAGGUGGAUUUGACUGAGGGAAGAUAUUUGUUAUCGGGCGCAUCCGAUGCAUCAGCUGCUGUUUAUGAUAUUCAAAGGCCAACUAACUAUGAAGGAAAUGGUCUGAUUGCCAAACACAAAUGUUUGUUUUCAGUCGAUAAGCAACACGGAAAGGGACAUAAAUAUGCCAUUUCAUCGGCCAUUUGGUAUCCUGUUGACACCGGACUAUUCGUUACAGGUUCUUAUGACCAUUAUAUCAAAGUUUGGGACACGAAUAGCACCCAGGUGGUGAUGAAUUUUAAAAUGCCUGGAAAGGUUUAUAGGACUGUGAUGUCUCCAUUGGCAACAUCUCACAUGUUGAUUGCUGCCGGAACUGAAGAUGUGCAAGUUCGCCUUUGUGAUAUUGCUUCGGGGGCAUUUGCUCACACUUUGUCUGGUCACCGUGAUGGAGUAAUGGCUGUGGAGUGGUCUACUUCCAGUGAGUGGGCCUUGAUAACUGGUGGAUGUGACGGUGCAAUUCGAUUUUGGGACAUUCGACGUGCUGGGUGUUUUCUUGUUCUGGAUCAGUCACAGUCUCAACUCGGAUGGCGUCCACCUGUCUUGGCUCGUUCUGCUGCAAAUAAGGUCUCAGUCUCAAAGUCACUGUCAGCAGGCCAAAACUCAUUGGGAAAACCACGAGCUCCACAAAAGAAAUAUGCCAAUGGGCAUGGAGUGAAACAGUCAACCAUUGGUCGAGUGCCAGCUAAGAGUUCUGCACGACAAAGAUUACAUCCAGGGAUGCUUUCCAUUCAAGAUCGUGCUACUGCUCAUUAUGGUGCUGUAACUGGUUUAAAAGUAACAGAUGAUGGCAUGUACCUUCUAAGUGCAGGCUCUGAUUCAAGAAUAAAGUUGUGGGAUCUUGAAUCUGGCUACAACACACUUGUAAACUUUGAAAUGGUGCGCCUCCAAACAAGCAAGGCAAUUCAGUUGGCCAUAUCUCAGGAAACAGCUCAAGUCUUUGUCCCAUGCAUGACAGUUGUGAAAGCAUUUGAUAUCUGGUCAGGUAAAAUGUCCCUUGCAUUUCAUGGUCACUAUGAAUCUGUUAACUGUUGUUGGUUCAGUUCACAGGAUCAGGUAUGAUAUAGCUUCUCUACAACUUUCCCAAGGCUGCUUAAUUAUAAAUUAUGGAUAAGACAUUUGUGAGACAUGACAUGAGUCGUACCCUAAAAUGCUAGUAUUUUGGAUAUACAUUUUCCCCAUAUCUGCAAACAAUGGUUGUACUGUUAAAGCAAAAGAGUUGAAAUAGUUUUAUCAAAUCAUUAUAGGACCAGUCCACUCGAACCUGGCUUUUAAUAAAUUGCUUAGUAAAAGUAAAGCAAAUGCUUAAUGCCGAUAAUUUAUGUUUUCAUAUCAUGAAAUCUAGUCGGAUGUUUUUCAUUAAAGACU